rnacentral:rRNA from 1 species
AGUGAACGCUGGCGGUAGGCCUAACACAUGCAAGUCGAACGGCAGCACGGUAAGAGCUUGCUCUUACGGGUGGCGAGUGGCGGACGGGUGAGGAAUACAUCGGAAUCUACUUUUUCGUGGGGGAUAACGUAGGGAAACUUACGCUAAUACCGCAUACGACCUACGGGUGAAAGCAGGGGAUCUUCGGACCUUGCGCGAUUGAAUGAGCCGAUGUCGGAUUAGCUAGUUGGCGGGGUAAAGGCCCACCAAGGCGACGAUCCGUAGCUGGUCUGGGAGGAUGAUCAGCCACACUGGAACUGAGACACGGUCCAGACUCCUACGGGAGGCAGCAGUGGGGAAUAUUGGACAAUGGGCGCAAGCCUGAUCCAGCCAUACCGCGUGGGUGAAGAAGGCCUUCGGGUUGUAAAGCCCUUUUGUUGGGAAAGAAAAGCAGCAGGUUAAUACCCCGCUGUUCUGACGGUACCCAAAGAAUAAGCACCGGCUAACUUCGUG